AUAAAAAAAUUAUAUGGAUAAAUAUGUUAGGUAGCAUUCCACAUAAAAGUUCUAUUUUAUCUCAGUUGAUGGUCUCCGCGGUUAAUUUUCGUCCUAUUUAUUAUGGUUUUUUUAGUCCCUCCUCCCACCUUGAAUGGUUGACGAAAGAAAAUGGACGAACCGGAGUGAGGCCCUUUCCACGAACCAGGGAGCGAGGCCCCCUCGCACAAAAAAAAUUGACGAUCUAUUCCUAUUACGACGGGAACCACACUCCGGCCGCCAUCGAUCCCUUCGCCGCAGUCGCCGAGGUCGACGGAAACCACGCCCCAGCCGGUAUCGAUCCCUUUGCCGCCACCGAGAUCCUGGAGGAGCCGCCGCCAUCGAUCCCGAGAUACUGGAGGAGCCGCUGCCGCCGCGGUCGCCUUCAUUGUGGACCUCCAGGACACCAUCGGGACACCGCUGGUCCGCUGUCAGGGCACACACCUAUGGCGCUCCCAUACCUGCAGUCCUGCACACGGACAUAGAGCUCACCACUGUCUGCGACGCCACGGAAGCAGCGGCCGAUCAUCGACGCCGGCCGUACGCAUGUCAGCCGCAGUGGACGGCCCCUUCUACGCGUCGUCGUACUUGGAGGGCAUUGCUUCGUCUUCAUGCAGCAUGUGCAGAUCGAACUUGUCGAGGAUGGUGCUCGAGCUAGAUUUGUUCUGGAAGACGAUCUCAUCAUCUAUCUACGAGCAAUUCGACACAAGAAAACAGGCACGCCAAGUGGCUGUGAAUGGCCAAGAACAACCGCAAUCCGUCACGGUCGUGUGGCAAGAUACAGAGGGAAGGGAAGCAGGAUUGGGAUGUGAGGUAGAGAUACAGCCAGCAAAAGGGGCGAGGAACAGAGACGUAAGUGAGAUUCAAAGUUUAGGUCGUGGCCGUUUCUUUCCUCUGGUUAAUUAGCCUACCGAGUGUUCAUGUCCGGCUCAUAUUUUUGCAUCUAAUUGCACUACAAUUUUCGCAUCUAGAAAUGCCUUGUCAUUGUUGUGCCCUAUGUAUUAUUUUUGUUUGUCGUAAUCAUAUUUGUACAUUGUUCUAGAAAAGUGAUUAUGUACUUGUAGAGGAAAUCUGAAUGUGGCUGUGAAUUAUGUCCAAAUUGCAGAACAGGUGAGCCGAACAUUUAUUUAUUACUCAAAUCAAAAGCUGGGUUCUUGAUCGGAGGCUCCAUAACUAUCUAUGGUGUUGAACUCGAUUUACUGAAUUUCUCCCAGGCCCAGACAUGAUCGCUGAUAGAGAAGCAGAAGAGGCAAUGAUGUUAACCAUACUGAAGAGCUUUCCUACUCAUGCUGUCUGAGCGUGUACUCCCAAUCCCAAUAUGCAGUUCACUUUCAACGCACCUGCAUGAUAAAUAAUGCUACCUUUACUGGCUUCAUGCAGUUUCGGAGAGGAGAACAGUUGGAUUUGUGCGGAGAACUCUGCUAACUAUGUUUGGUUCUUGGACCCCAUAGAUGGAACAGAGAGCUUCAUUAACUGUUAUUGAAAUGUAACAGUGUGCAGGCCAAUUAAUUUCACCUCAACCAACUAUGAUGGAUGUUGAUUUGCUAUUCAAAGGCAAGCCUAUUUUUGGCACGCUUAUUGUGCUACUUCACAAUGGAAAGCCGGUUAUGGGCAUUAUUGAUCAACCAAAUCUUGAGAGAGAGAUGGGUUGGGGUGGACGGGAAGAAAACUACCUUAAAUGUAUUUGUGUGAUUGUUCAGGACUACAUACAAAGCAAUGCAAGACACAAUAUAAUUUAGCAUUUUCAAGGAUACCACAUGGAGCAGCAAAAUGGAGGAGACGAGCUACCAUAUGGUGGGCAGUGUGCUAAGGAGGGCGAGCCAUUCUGGGAAAGUCCUUGUGGCCGUGAAAGACCAGGAUGGCAUAUUGAUUGCAGUGCAAUGAGCGGGCAUUAUUUAGGCAAGCAUUUAAUAUUUAUGACGGAGGAAAAUAUUUGAUCUUACCACAUCAUGGGAAUGAGCUUGCGCAAAGGCGAGCAGUGAAUCCUGAGAGUGAGGUCAAACGCGGGAUGCAUAAUGGCUUUGUCAACAACAAUGGCCAGAAGAAGGCAAAAAUAGACAAAAGCUUCUCACUAUCAAAGAUGUAAGGAAGGUGAAUCUCUUAUUUUUGUUGGUAUACUUGUAGUUAAACUACAUACGUAUCAUUUAUUUGUAGUUGAACCUGACCAUCCUAUUGCUGUCAUUGUAGAUUAUUGUUCUGUGCCAUCCCAUGGCUCUAAGGCUAUUCCUGAUGCGAACACACUACAGACUGUACAAGACUCUGAAGAAGUAUAUCGUUGUGCUGUGAUGACAAGUUGGAUGUCCCAGUACCAGCAGACGAUCGAAAGGUGGUCGACGACAACCACGAGAGUUUCCCGAGACGCAUUUCUAACGAUCUUCAUAUUACAGGUGCCCUUGAUGAGCUUAUGAAGGCAGUGAGAGGCGAGCUAUGAACAACAACUUGAGUGAUUUGAUGCAACUUGAGUGAUUUGAAGAAAUUGCAGCAGAAACUAGAGCAGCAGCCAGCAGAAAAGGAAAUGGCCAGAGAAGAAGUAACAACAGCAGAAAAAGAAACAGUCCAAGGGUACGGCCCGACGACGAGGGCGCCAUCCCUCCUCCAUGUUGGAUCUGGAUGACCAGGAUGCCAUAAAGUUGGGCGUGUGGGCUUGAUGUUCAGGUGACGGCGCAAUAGUUUGACGGGCGGCAGCGGAGGGUAGGGCGAUGCCGUACCAGGGAGAGGACGUGGCGAGAGGAGGAUAGUUUCAGGGAGAGAUGGCGACGAUGAUGUGAUGGUAGGGGAUGGGAUGCGAUGAAUGCCCGAGGGCCGGCCAACUAUGCGGGGAGAGAAGGAGCCGGCUAGGUGUGCGAGAAGAGAGUAAGGGGAUGGGCUGUCUUUUCUUAUUUUCCGUGAAGAAAAAUAAAGGAUAUACCAGCAACUUAUGUUUGUUUGUGCGUUGAGAUAAAUAUCACAUAGCCUAACAAGUCAUUUUUAGAGAAUAUACCUAUAAGUUAUCUAUAGGUGAGCCUACAAUUUAUAACUUAAAGCCACGACACUUAUUUUGGGACGGAGGGAGUAGAAAUUAGGAUGCGACUCACUUCUAUGAAGAAGAACACGAUGCCAUAAUCAAUAUAUACUGUAUACAAGCAUAUUUCAAUUUUAUUUAUUCUGAUACAAUAUAUGUUUAAUUACAUGGUUCAGUUUUGUUGAUCAAGAUAAAAACCUAUGGAUUCGAACGAUGCUUUGAAAUUAUCACUAUAUUCAAGAUGAUAAUAAUUUAUUGAAUUGUGU